rnacentral:rRNA from 1 species
GUACAGGGCCACGCCGGACCGCGCACGACGGCCACCCGGGAACCCUAAAAUUUUGCGCUACGGGUGAGUAAUGCCUAGGAAUCUGCCUGGUAGUGGGGGACAACGUCUCGAAAGGGACGCUAAUACCGCAUACGUCCUACGGGAGAAAGCAGGGGACCUUCGGGCCUUGCGCUAUCAGAUGAGCCUAGGUCGGAUUAGCUAGUUGGUGAGGUAAUGGCUCACCAAGGCGACGAUCCGUAACUGGUCUGAGAGGAUGAUCAGUCACACUGGAACUGAGACACGGUCCAGACUCCUACGGGAGGCAGCAGUGGGGAAUAUUGGACAAUGGGCGAAAGCCUGAUCCAGCCAUGCCGCGUGUGUGAAGAAGGUCUUCGGAUUGUAAAGCACUUUAAGUUGGGAGGAAGGGCAGUAAGCGAAUACCUUGCUGUUUUGACGUUACCGACAGAAUAAGCACCGGCUAACUCUGUGCCAGCAGCCGCGGUAAUACAGAGGGUGCAAGCGUUAAUCGGAAUUACUGGGCGUAAAGCGCGCGUAGGUGGUUUGUUAAGUUGGAUGUGAAAGCCCCGGGCUCAACCUGGGAACUGCAUUCAAAACUGACAAGCUAGAGUAUGGUAGAGGGUGGUGGAAUUUCCUGUGUAGCGGUGAAAUGCGUAGAUAUAGGAAGGAACACCAGUGGCGAAGGCGACCACCUGGACUGAUACUGACACUGAGGUGCGAAAGCGUGGGGAGCAAACAGGAUUAGAUACCCUGGUAGUCCACGCCGUAAACGAUGUCAACUAGCCGUUGGGAGCCUUGAGCUCUUAGUGGCGCAGCUAACGCAUUAAGUUGACCGCCUGGGGAGUACGGCCGCAAGGUUAAACUCAAUGAAUUUGACUGGGGGCCCGCACAGCGUGGAGCAUGUUGUUUUAAUUCGAAGCAACGCGAGAACCUUAC